GCGCAGCAGGCGAGAAACUUCACAAUGUGCGAAAGCACGAUGAGGGAAUCCCAAGUGCUUGCACGUAAGUGUAAGCUGUUUCUCUGUCUAAAACGCAGAGAGAGUAAGGGCUGGGUAAGACGGGUGCCAGCCGCCGCGGUAAUACCUGCAGCUCGAGUGGUGACCGUUAUUAUUGGGCCUAAAACGUCCGUAGCCGGUUUAAUAAAUGCCUGGGUAAAUCGGACCGCUUAACGGUUCGAAUUCCGGGUAGACUGUUAAACUUGAGACCGGGAGAAGUUGGAGGUACUCCUGGGGUAGAGGUGAAAUUCUGUAAUCCUAGGGGGACCACCAGUGGCGAAGGCGUCUAACCAGAACGGGUCUGACGGUGAGGGACGAAGCCC
rnacentral:rRNA from 1 species